UACGUAGGGUGCGAGCGUUGUCCGGAAUUAUUGGGCGUAAAGGGCUCGUAGGCGGUUUGUCGCGUCGGGAGUGAAAACCAUGAGCUUAACUCAUGGCUUGCUUUCGAUACGGGCAGACUAGAGGUAUGCAGGGGAGAACGGAAUUCCUGGUGUAGCGGUGAAAUGCGCAGAUAUCAAGAGGAACACCUGCGGCGAAGGCGGGUUGCUGGGCCGACACUGACGCUGAGGCGCGAAAGCCAGGGGAGCGAACGGG
rnacentral:rRNA from 1 species